UACGUAGGUGGCAAGCGUUGUCCGGAUUUACUGGGCGUAAAGAGCGCGCAGGCGGCUGGGUCAGUCCGAUGUGAAAGCUUCCGGCUUAACUGGAAAACAGCAUCGGAAACUGCUCAGCUUGAAGGUGGGAGAGGGUAGCGGAAUUCCCGGUGUAGUGGUGAAAUGCGUAGAUAUCGGGAGGAACACCAGUGGCGAAGGCGGCUACCUGGCCCAUUCUUGACGCUGAGGCGCGAAAGCUAGGGGAGCAAACGGGAUUAGAAAC
rnacentral:rRNA from 1 species